rnacentral:rRNA from 1 species
GACGAACGCUGGCGGCGUGCUUAACACAUGCAAGUCGAGCGGGGGAUACAAGGGAGCUUGCUCCUGAGUAUUCUAGCGGCGGACGGGUGAGUAACGCGUGAGCAACCUUUCUCUCAGUGGGGAAUAACACAGGGAAACUUGUACUAAUACCGCAUAAGCGCACAGUACCGCAUGGUACAGUGUGAAAAACUCCGGUGGCAUACGAUGGACCCGCGUCUGAUUAGCUAGUUGGUGAGGUAAACGGGCCCACCAAGGCGACGAUCAGUAGCCGGCCUGAGAGGGUGAACGGCCACAUUGGGACUGAGACACGGCCCAAACUCCUACGGGAGGCAGCAGUGGGGAAUAUUGCACAAUGGGGGAAACCCUGAUGCAGCGACGCCGCGUGAGUGAAGAAGUAUUUCGGUAUGUAAAGCUCUAUCAGCAGGGAAGAAAAUGACGGUACCUGACUAAGAAGCCCCGGCUAACUACGUG